GAUGAACGCUGGCGGCGUGCCUAAUACAUGCAAGUCGAGCGAACGGACGAGAAGCUUGCUUCUCUGAUGUUAGCGGCGGACGGGUGAGUAACACGUGGAUAACCUACCUAUAAGACUGGGAUAACUUCGGGAAACCGGAGCUAAUACCGGAUAAUAUUUUGAACCGCAUGGUUCAAAAGUGAAAGACGGUCUUGCUGUCACUUAUAGAUGGAUCCGCGCUGCAUUAGCUAGUUGGUAAGGUAACGGCUUACCAAGGCAACGAUGCAUAGCCGACCUGAGAGGGUGAUCGGCCACACUGGAACUGAGACACGGUCCAGACUCCUACGGGAGGCAGCAGUAGGGAAUCUUCCGCAAUGGGCGAAAGCCUGACGGAGCAACGCCGCGUGAGUGAUGAAGGUCUUCGGAUCGUAAAACUCUGUUAUUAGGGAAGAACAUAUGUGUAAGUAACUGUGCACAUCUUGACGGUACCUAAUCAGAAAGCCACGGCUAACUACGUGCCAGCAGCCGCGGUAAUACGUAGGUGGCAAGCGUUAUCCGGAAUUAUUGGGCGUNAAGCGCGCGUAGGCGGUUUUUUAAGUCUGAUGUGAAAGCCCACGGCUCAACCGUGGAGGGUCAUUGGAAACUGGAAAACUUGAGUGCAGAAGAGGAAAGUGGAAUUCCAUGUGUAGCGGUGAAAUGCGCAGAGAUAUGGAGGAACACCAGUGGCGAAGGCGACUUUCUGGUCUGUAACUGACGCUGAUGUGCGAAAGCGUGGGGAUCAAACAGGAUUAGAUACCCUGGUAGUCCACGCCGUAAACGAUGAGUGCUAAGUGUUAGGGGGUUUCCGCCCCUUAGUGCUGCAGCUAACGCAUUAAGCACUCCGCCUGGGGAGUACGACCGCAAGGUUGAAACUCAAAGGAAUUGACGGGGACCCGCACAAGCGGUGGAGCAUGUGGUUUAAUUCGAAGCAACGCGAAGGACCUUACCAAAUCUUGACAUCCUUUGACAACUCUAGAGAUAGAGCUUUCCCCUUCGGGGGACAAAGUGACAGGUGGUGCAUGGUUGUCGUCAGCUCGUGUCGUGAGAUGUUGGGUUAAGUCCCGCAACGAGCGCAACCCUUAAGCUUAGUUGCCAUCAUUAAGUUGGGCACUCUAAGUUGACUGCCGGUGACAAACCGGAGGAAGGUGGGGAUGACGUCAAAUCAUCAUGCCCCUUAUGAUUUGGGCUACACACGUGCUACAAUGGACAAUACAAAGGGCAGCGAAACCGUGAGGUCAAGCAAAUCCCAUAAAGUUGUUCUCAGUUCGGAUUGCAGUCUGCAACUCGACUACAUGAAGCUGGAAUCGCUAGUAAUCGUAGAUCAGCAUGCUACGGUGAAUACGUUCCCGGGUCU
rnacentral:rRNA from 1 species